rnacentral:rRNA from 1 species
UACGGGGGGGGGCAAGCGUUGUUCGGAAUUACUGGGCGUAAAGGGCUCGUAGGCGCCAACUAAGUCAGACGUGAAAUCCCUCGGCUUAACCGGGGGAACUGCGUCUGAUACUGGAUGGCUUGAGUUUGGGAGAGGGAUGCGGAAUUCCAGGUGUAGCGGUGAAAUGCGUAGAGAUCCGGAGGAACACCAGCGGCGAAGGCGGCAUCCCUGGACGUGGUCCUGACACUCAUGAGCGAAAGCGUGGGGAGCGAGUCCGG